CACGUAGGGGGCGAGCGUUGUCCGGAUUUAUUGGGCGUAAAGAGCUCGUAGGCGGCUCGGUAAGUGAGGUGUGAAAACUCCAGGCUCAACCUGGAGACGUCACCUCAUACUGCCGUGGCUAGAGUCCGGUAGGGGAGCAUGGAAUUCCUGGUGUAGCGGUGAAAUGCGCAGAUAUCAGGAGGAACACCAGUGGCGAAGGCGGUGCUCUGGGCCGGAACUGACGCUGAGAAGCGAAAGCGUGGGGAGCGAACAGG
rnacentral:rRNA from 1 species